AAGCUGACUAAUAACUGUACCAAGAACUUUUAUCUUUACCAAUAAGGUAGCAGUGGCAGAACCUGGGUUGUUAUAAUCUCAUCUUUCUUAUUUACUCUGGACUCUAGGUGUUAAUGAGUCACCUGGGCUGUGAACCACUGGCUCUCAGGAAUCCACUUCUCCGGUGGUUUUCAACCUAGUUGUCCAUAGGAAUCACCUGGGGAGAUCUGAGAACUCUAGAUGCCCAGGCCGCAAGUGGAUUCAUUAUGUCAGAUUCUCUGGUGUUGGGGUCACAGCCCAACAGGCUUCCAGACCUUGUGACACAGUUGUGCUGUACAGUGUAGGUGGACCAUUACUCCUCUAGGUCCAGUUUUCAUCUCACCUCAAAGUUGGGAUACACUAAGCUUUGAUGCCUCUGCGAAUCUGAUCCCCAAAGGACUUUAUUAAUUGAAAUAUGGAAAAAGGUCAUCUGAUGGGCUAGUGCAGUUGGCUAGAACAUGGAGCUAAUAGAAAGUGGAAUCCUCAUAAUCUUCUUUCUUGUCUUAAUUUUUUUCAGUUCAUGAAAAAAAAAACAGUUUACCCCCUUCUCACUGUUAGCUAAGGAUUAAAAUUACUCUGCUUAAUUAUAAAUUGUGGGGCUCAUUCAAAUCAUUGACAUCCCACAAGGAAGUCUGAAUCCUUAUAAACCUUAAAAAUCUUCCACACAUAGGCUAUGGUACGAGGUAAACAGGAUUGUUAGAUUAAACUGGAACUGAGGUCCUCAGAUUCGCUCAUAGCAAGUAUACUAUCUCCAGUGUCUCUCUCUUCCCAAAACUCUCAUGUAAAGUUAGCCAUCUGCCUGGACAGAACAAGGGGGCACACUGCAUCUUUCCAGAAGGCCUAGCCACAAGCAUUCGCUCCUACGGUCUUCAGCCCUGUGGCUCCACAGAUGUUUUCCAGAUGUUCACAGUGCCCUAUGGCUGGAUGCUGGGUGUGCCCAGGCUGGAGAAUAAUAUGCUCUUGCCUUUACUAUCAAAAGGAACUUGGCUUAUUUUGCUCCUACUUUUCCUCCUUAGACCUCAGGAAAAAUACUCAAGAGGGAAAUGGUAUUAUUUCACUUUGAAGGCUGAUCAUGAUGAAAACUUGGAAAAGCAAACAAUUACGGCAGACACUCCUUGCUCACUCACAGUCCACUCUUGCCAGAGAAGCAGGGAAGGUGUCUCCUUUCCUUCUGUUCCUCAAGAUCCAACAGCUUUGAGCUGACCCACAGAACUGCUGCAGACCCUCUGGAGUGACCUCCCUUUGCUAUCUAAGGAGACUGUCGGGAGCCGCUCCCGCCAUUACAAGAUGGCGCCGGUUUCCUGCUUCCUGGUUCUUCUUGCCAAACGUUGUCUUGCGAUGUACGCAUGCGCCACUUUAUGCUAAUGUAGGUUUGGUUGUUCUCCCUAUUGGAGAACACAUGCUAAUUGGGUUUUGUGUAGAGCACCAAUCACAGACGAGCAAGUCACCCUGCUGGCUAUUUAAGCAGAGCACGCACAGGGUUUGGGGUCCUUCUCCAUCUACUUUCAAGAGCUUCGAAAUAAAACUGCUGCUGGACAAA